rnacentral:misc_RNA from 1 species
AAGUCGUAACAAGGUCUCCGUAGGUGAACCUGCGGAAGGAUCAUUACAGUAAAUUGCUGUAGACCUGAUGUCCUGGAUUAAAACCGCGGUAUGAAUAAGAUCUGCCGUGUGGCCUAAUAACCUUGGGCAUCCAACAUCGCCUAACCAUGUUACUUAACUUGAAAAACGUAGCCUUGGUAAAAUUUACUUUUGCCAGUGGAAGCAUUAAACUCUUUUAUUAAACCUAAGCUCUAUUCAUUAUCAAUUUAAGUCUGAAAAUAAGUUAAUUAUAUUAAAA